UACAGAGGAUGCAAGCGUUAUCCGGAAUGAUUGGGCGUAAAGCGUCUGUAGGUGGCUUUUUAAGUCCGCCGUCAAAUCCCAGGGCCUCAACUCUGGACAGGCGGUGGAAACUACCAAGCUGGAGUACGGUAGGGGCAGAGGGAAUUUCCGGUGGAGCGGUGAAAUGCGUAGAGAUCAGGAGGAACACCCGUGGCGAAGGCGGCUCUCUGGUCGACAUCUGACGCUGAGACGCGAAAACGUGGGGAGCGAACGGG
rnacentral:rRNA from 1 species